UGAGCAUUACGUUCAUGCA
rnacentral:snRNA from 1 species